rnacentral:rRNA from 1 species
CCUACGGGAGGCAGCAGUGGGGAAUAUUGCACAAUGGGGGAAACCCUGAUGCAGCGACGCCGCGUGAGUGAAGGAGUAUUUCGGUAGGUAAAGCUCUAUCAGCAGGGAAGAAAAUGACGGUACCUGACUAAGAAGCCCCGGCUAACUACGUGCCAGCAGCCGCGGUAAUACGUAGGGGGCAAGCGUUAUCCGGAUUUACUGGGUGUAAAGGGAGCGUAGACGGCGCGGCAAGUCUGAAGUGAAAGGCAGGGGCGUAACCCCUGAACUGCUUUGGAAACUGCCAUGCUAGAGUGCAGUAUAGGUAAGCGGAAUUCCUAGUGUAGCGGUGAAAUGCGUAGAUAUUAGGAGGAACACCAGUGGCGAAGGCGGCUUACUGGACUGUAACUGACGUUGAGGCUCGAAAGCGUGGGGAGCAAACAGGAUUAGAUACCCCUGUAGUC